rnacentral:rRNA from 1 species
ACGGAGGCAGCAGUGAGGAAUAUUGGUCAAUGGGCGAGAGCCUGAACCAGCUAAGUCGCGUGAAGGAUGAAGGUUCUAUGGAUUGUAAACUUCUUUUGUUCGAGGGUAAAGUGAGGGAUGCGUCCCUUAUUGCAAGUAUCGAACGAAUAAGCAUCGGCUAACUCCGUGCCAGCAGCCGCGGUAAUACGGAGGAUGCGAGCGUUAUCCGGAUUUAUUGGGUUUGAAGGGUGCGUAGGCGGGAUGUUAAGUCAGCGGUGAAAGCGUGUAGCUCAACUAUACCAAGCCGUUGAAACUGGCGUUCUUGAGUGUAAACGAGGUAGGCGGAAUGUGACGUGUAGCGGUGAAAUGCUUAGAUAUGUCACAGAACCCCGAUUGCGAAGGCAGCUUACCAGCAUACAACUGACGCUGAGGCACGAAAGCGUGGGUAUCAAACAGGAUUAGAUACCCUGGUA